UGGUGGAGUGAUUUGUCUGGUUAAUUCCGAUAACGAACGAGACCUUAACCUGCUAAAUAGUGGCGUUAACCAUGCGUUGACGUCUCACUUCUUAGAGGGACUGACUACGAUUAGUGGUCGGAAGUUUGAGGCAAUAACA
rnacentral:rRNA from 1 species